UUCCGGUUGAUCCUGCCGGACCUGACUGCUAUCGGAUUGGUACUAAGCCAUGUGAGUCGUUGCAGCAAUGCAAGGCAGACGGCUCAGUAACACGUAGUCAACCUAACCUAUGGACGGGGAUAACCUCGGGAAACUGAGAAUAAUACCCGAUAGAUCAUGAUACCUGGAACGGUUUAUGGUUCAAAUGAUUUAUCGCCAUAGGAUGGGACUGCGGUCUAUCAGCUUGUUGGUGAGGUAAUGGCCCACCAAGGCUAUAACAGAUACGGGCUCUGAGAGGAGGGGCCCGGAGAUGGGUACUGAGACACGGACCCAGGUCCUAUGGGGCGCAGCAGGCGAGAAACCUUUGCAAUGUGCGAAAGCACGACAAGGUUAAUCCGAGUGAUUCCUGCUAAAGGAAUCUUUUGUUAGUCAUAAAACCACUGAUGAAUAAGGGGUGGGCAAGUUCUGGUGUCAGCCGCCGCGGUAAUACCAGCACCUCGAGUGGUCAGGAGGUUUAUUGGGCCUAAAGCAUCCGUAGCCGGCUGCUCAAGUUUCCGGUUAAAUCCACACGCUUAACGUAUGGGCUGCCGGAAAUACUGUUCAGCUAGGGAGUGGGAGAGGUAGACGGUACUCGAUAGGAAGGGGUAAAAUCCUUUGAUCUAUUGAUGACCACCUGUGGCGAAGGCGGUCUA
rnacentral:rRNA from 1 species